AUGACUUUGGUCUCCGUCCUCAUCUGGACUCUCCUCUGCUGCUGCUUCACAGAGUCCAGAGGCCAGGUCACAGUGACUCAGCCUGGAGCAGUGAGCUCUGAUCUGGGAGCCUCCACCACCAUCACAUGUACCACCAGUCAGGAUGUUUAUGGCUCUAACUAUUUAGCCUGGUACCAACAGAGAGAUGGAGAAACUCUUAAACUUCUCAUUUACUAUGCCUCCACUCUACAAUCAGGGAUUUCCAGUCGUUUUUCAGGCAGUGGAUCAAACUCUCAUUUCACUCUGACCAUCAGUGAUGUUCAGGCUGAAGAUGCAGCAGUUUAUUACUGUCAGAGUGCACAUUAUAUCAACAGCCUCUGGUUAUGGUCCUCAAGUGGAGGAACCAGACUGGAUGUUGGAAGUGAUGUUCGUCCCACCCUGACGGUGCUGCCCCCCUCCACAGAGGAGCUGCAGCAGGGGAAGGCCACGCUCAUGUGCCUGGCCAACAAGGGCUUCCCCUCAGACUGGAGUCUGUCCUGGAAGGUGAACGGCGGCAGCAGCAUCAGCUGGGAGGAGAGCAGGAGCCCCGCGGUGCUGCAGAAGGACGGCCACUACAGCUGGAGCAGCACCCUGAGGCUCCCUGCAGACCAGUGGAGGAAGGUGAACUCUGUGACCUGUGAGGCCACCCAGGGCUCCCAGUCUGCACUCUCACACACACUGAGGACACACCAGUGUUCCCAGUACUGAGCCCACUCACUGGGGAUCACCUACUGCUGUGACUCUGCUCAUCAGCUCACUCUGUCUCUCCAACUCUCUGGCUUUGUGUCAUUUCAACACUUUGAACAGCAAACAUUUUCAGGCUUCUCUCACUGCUGCAAUAUUGGUUCAGUGUUUGACCACAAAUAAACGUCUGUACAUCAAACCUGGGGUUUUUGUGUUCAUUGUUAUGUUGUGUUUUAUUC